GGGGGCAUAGCUCAGUGUGGUAGAGCAUUCGACUGCAGAUCGAGAGGUCCUCGCUUCAAACACGGGAGCCCUCA